rnacentral:lncRNA from 1 species
GUACUGAUAAAAUACUGAAAACAGUGGCCAAGUUCUUCCAAGCAGAAGCGCUAACAUGGAUUUUGCAGUAUCAAUAUCAAGACUUCGCUGGUCUUUAUCCCUUGCAAAAUCAAAGGCAUAUCUGUAGAUAUUCUUAAAGGAUGAGAUGUCAUUCAACUGUGACCGCAAGAAGUCAAAUUUACUCUGUAACUUUUCUGUACAGUCACACUGUAAUGAGGUCAUCCCCUUUAACCAUUCUUCCUUGGUAAAAAAUCCCAUGCUUUCAGCCUCUAGCUUCCAGGCUAAAACUAACAUAAUAAUAUUUUCAGGCUCAACACCAAUGUCUUCGCAGAACUUUUCCAUUCCUUCAGGCCCCACAACAUCAUCAGGACCUGCAUAUUCAUGAAACCAUGCUAGGCACUUCUUGCUUGAAAAAUGUUCAUCUCCACUUAUUACUUUACCAGAGGCUUGUGACCUGCAAUAGCUGCCGAGUUUACACUUCUUGAGGCCGGCCUCGUCCGCCGCCGCCGCCGGCCCCGAGGAUUUUCUCUUCUUCUUCACCGGCAUCGUUUUGCUCCGGCCGGGGGCCGCCCCGCUGCCGGGGCUCGCCGCCUGGGCCCCCCGAGCUCAGCGCUCCGGCCGCUGCUGUUUAGCGGGCCGGGUCGGGCCGGGUCAGGUCGGGCCGGGCCCCGCCGCCUCCGCGCCGGCCCGAGCAGUGAGCUACGCGCCCGGGGCGGGAACGGGGAACCGGGCGGCAGCGGCUGCGGAUGGAACGGCG